UACGAACUGUGCGAACGUUAUUCGGAAUCACUGGGCUUACAGGGUGCGUAGGCGGCUUGUUAAGUUAGGGUGUGAAAGCCCCCGGCUCAACCGGGGAAUUCGGCGCCCUAAACUGGCGAGCUGGAGUGAGAUAGGGGUGUGUGGAACUUCCGGUGGGAGCGGUGAAAUGUGUUGAUAUCGGAAGGAACACCGAUGGACGAAGGCAAUCCCCUGGACCUGUGACUGACGCUCAUGCACGAAAGCGUGGGGAGCAAACAGG
rnacentral:rRNA from 1 species